CCUACGGGAGGCAGCAGUGGGGAAUCUUGCGCAAUGGGCGAAAGCCUGACGCAGCCAUGCCGCGUGAAUGAUGAAGGUCUUAGGAUUGUAAAAUUCUUUCACCGGGGACGAUAAUGACGGUACCCGGAGAAGAAGCCCCGGCUAACUUCGUGCCAGCAGCCGCGGUAAUACGAAGGGGGCUAGCGUUGCUCGGAAUUACUGGGCGUAAAGGGAGCGUAGGCGGAUAGUUUAGUCAGAGGUGAAAGCCCAGGGCUCAACCUUGGAAUUGCCUUUGAUACUGGCUAUCUUGAGUGUGGGAGAGGUAUGUGGAACUCCGAGUGUAGAGGUGAAAUUCGUAGAUAUUCGGAAGAACACCAGUGGCGAAGGCGACAUACUGGCCCAUUACUGACGCUGAGGCUCGAAAGCGUGGGGAGCAAACAGGAUUAGAUACCCUGGUAGUCCACGCUGUAAACGAUGAGUGCUAGUUGUCGGCAGGCAUGCCUGUCGGUGACGCNGCUACGCAUAGACACUCCGCCGUCGGGAGGUACGGUCGCGAGAAUAAACUACGAAGAAGUAGACGCGNGAGACGNGCCGACGACGACGACGAGGGAGGAGG
rnacentral:rRNA from 1 species